UAUAGGUUCUUAUGAAGAUUAAUAGGGAAAGAGGUGAAAAUCCUCUACAGCCCCCGUUACUGUAAUGUGGACGAAAAUUUUAUAAACCACUAUGAUUAUUUAUUAAUCAUGGGAAGGUGAAGGAGUAGGAAGAAGCUAAGUCAGGAGACCUGCCUAAUAAAUAU
rnacentral:ncRNA from 1 species